CUCUGCUGCUGGCUUAGGAUGACCCUGGCUCCAAUAUUUAGAAUUUCAAAGCACCAUCCCCUCUAUAAUGUAAAGACAGGGGAUCUGUCACCUCAGCUUCCCCUUCUGGGACCACCCCUGGGGGCACAAAGAGGGUGUAGUACAGAAGGAUGUCCUUACCAGACAUUGUGAGCAAACAGGCGGGGGAACAUGGGAUCUUACAAGAUGUCCCAUUUUCGAAAGAGAAAAGAAUUUUGGAUUUUUGAGGGAUAGAUUUCCCCUACCCCAUUGUGGGCCUGGCAGAACUCUUAAGAAAGGCCUUCCUCUGAGACUAUUGAAACAAUGGACCCUAAGAAUCUGGAAGUCCCCCAGGAAUCACAUGCUAGAAGAGGAGGAAGCCUAAAGCCUGGACCAGUCAGGGGAGGCACCGGAAGGAGAUUUCACUACUGACAACUUGUUAGACCACCUUGCUGGAAAGACUGGAGCCCAGACAAUGAUGAGCAGGACCACACCUUGACCAGGUCUGCUUAGACUUCGGUCCCUUCUACUUAAACCUCAACCUUACUUCAGGACCCCAAAGAUAGACGGAAGGAUCCGUGGAUCCUCUUUGCCCCUCGCUCAGCGUGGUCACAUGGAAUGAAUUUCCUCUUUCUGCAUUUCACUGUCCACUCAUCUGCUUUGGUCUGUUUACUGAGGACAGGUGGCUGAGGCUGGCUUCUUGGGGAACAGACAGUGACUCUCUGUCUGGUAUCAGUAUAUCAGUAGGUAACAGCACAGUGAGUACAAUAUUUGUACCAUGGACCCAUUGUCUCAGAGAGGUCCUAAAACCAUACAACAGAGCACUUUCUGGAGAGGCCUAAGAAAGACCAACUCUGAGGUAUAAGCCUGGUGUCUGUAGCAGAGGCACAAGCCUCGGAUCUGCAGCAGAUGACCUGGGCUGGAAUCCCAAGGGCACCACACGCUGUCCGUGAGACACAGACGUGUUAUUCUAACCAGGCUCCAGACCUUCAUUCCCUGAAAUCGGAAGUGGAGACCAUGA
rnacentral:lncRNA from 1 species